CAGAGUCAUGCAAAUCUAACAACAAAUACUAUCGACUGCAUGGAGAAUAGUGGCGUUUACCGCGGCUGCCUCGUCUAAGCUUCACUUCCUCCGGAUAAGGUCGUCAGACAAAAGAAGUGUGUGCGGUGAUGUCACUUCCUGUAUCUGAGGGACAGUUCAUUUAAAAAUGUCUCAAAUGUAACGUGGUCGUCGGUCAGCUGGCUGGUGUCCUUACAGCCGCAGCUAAAUGGUGACAGGUACAUGGUUGUUGGGGUUUACUUUGUUAGAUUUCAGCUUCAAAUUGUUGGGGAGAAUCCAGUCAGUAUGCUGUGUUCAAGUGCUGUCGGAAGUAACACAAUCCGGUAGGUGUCGGGGUCACGAGAAACUUCAUAGCGCCAAAUAUUAUUUGUUAUAAAAUUGAUAGUGACAAUUUUUUUUGUUACUAAAUUAUGCGCCUAAUACAUUGCCCCUCAGUUUGUUAUUUAUACCCUCAAAUUACAUAAUUAUGCUAUGUGGACUUAAAGGAGUGGUAAGUGAUUGUAAUCCAAUACACUUUCUGUUAGAUUUGGUCUAUAUUUCCUCGCGGUUUGCUAGCUCUACAUUUGGUGUGUGCUCUGAAAAAAUCAGGUUUUCCUGCGAAACCCUGGCUGUGUAAACGGAAAACAAACAAAGUGGUGUGGACCCUGAGACACAACAUUCCUCCAGCCAAUCAGCAACAGCUGGACUCCAGGCACUGUGAAAAAGGAGAGAUGGCCGAGAAAGGCCAAAGUGGGAAAGGUCUGAAGAGUAUAGAGAAAGUUAUAUGACCAGACAAGCGCAAAGGCGUUUCAACGCUGGAGAAAUGUCAGAUUUGAAAUUUAGGGGGUUGAGCAUCUAAGGGAGCACUGAAGGGACAAGUGUAUUUGUCAACAAUCCUUGUGCAAAAUCACUUACACUCCCUUUAAUGUUGUGUGCCUUGAAAUAACUAACAUGUACCUUAAAACUGCUUAAUUAUUUUACUCAAAGUAAUAAUUACCAACCUUAAUUCUAGAAGUCCUCCUCCUAACACCAUGGAUGGAUUACCCAACAAUUGACAACUAUGUUAGUAAUUGAUUAUUCAUUCAACCAUUUGUCAAGUAAAAAUGCCAGACAUUUAUUGGUUCCACUUCCUUAAAAGUGACAUUUGACUUUCCUUGUUCCACAUUAGAAUACAUUUAAUAUUUUGUGGUCCUAAACUGUUUGAACCACUUUGAGGUUGUAGCACAUGUACCAUUCAGCUUUUACUACAGACAGCAUGCAAUAUGGCCCCUCCAAAUCUUAUUUGUAAGUUGAUUUUUGGCAGUUGAUCACAAAAAUAUGUAUUUUCUUAUAAGUGCUAUGUGUCAUUUUUCCUUGUCUGUAAAACUAUCUGUAUGUGUAUGCCUACUAACACUUUACUUGUGGAGCAUAGGCUACAUCAGUUUUAUCUAAUAAAAUAUUGAAGUAUG